rnacentral:snRNA from 1 species
GUGCUUGCUUCAGCAGCACAUAUAAUAAAAUUGGAACGAUACAGAGAAGAUUAGCAUGGCCCCUGCACAAGGAUGACAUGCAAACUUGUGAAGUGUUUCAUAUUUUU